rnacentral:rRNA from 1 species
GACGAACGCUGGCGGCGUGCUUAACACAUGCAAGUCGAACGGAAAGGCCCUGCUUUUGUGGGGUGCUCGAGUGGCGAACGGGUGAGUAACACGUGAGUAACCUGCCCUUGACUUUGGGAUAACUUCAGGAAACUGGGGCUAAUACCGGAUAGGAGCUCCUGCUGCAUGGUGGGGGUUGGAAAGUUUCGGCGGUUGGGGAUGGACUCGCGGCUUAUCAGCUUGUUGGUGGGGUAGUGGCUUACCAAGGCUUUGACGGGUAGCCGGCCUGAGAGGGUGACCGGCCACAUUGGGACUGAGAUACGGCCCAGACUCCUACGGGAGGCAGCAGUGGGGAAUAUUGCACAAUGGGCGGAAGCCUGAUGCAGCAACGCCGCGUGCGGGAUGUCGGCCUUCGGGUUGUAAACCGCUUUCGCCUGUGACGAAGCGUGAGUGACGGUAAUGGGUAAAGAAGCACCGGCUAACUACGUG